UGGGGAAUUUUGGACAAUGGGCGAAAGCCUGAUCCAGCAAUGCCGCGUGUGCGAAGAAGGCCUUCGGGUUGUAAAGCACUUUUGUCCGGAAAGAAAUCCUUGGCUCUAAUACAGUCGGGGGAUGACGGUACCGGAAGAAUAAGCACCGGCUAACUACGUGCCAGCAGCCGCGGUAAUACGUAGGGUGCAAGCGUUAAUCGGAAUUACUGGGCGUAAAGCGUGCGCAGGCGGUUUGCUAAGACCGAUGUGAAAUCCCCGGGCUCAACCUGGGAACUGCAUUGGUGACUGGCAGGCUAGAGUAUGGCAGAGGGGGGUAGAAUUCCACGUGUAGCAGUGAAAUGCGUAGAGAUGUGGAGGAAUACCGAUGGCGAAGGCAGCCCCCUGGGCCAAUACUGACGCUCAUGCACGAAAGCGUGGGGAGCAAACAGGAUUAGAUACCCUGGUAGUCCACGCCCUAAACGAUGUCAACUAGUUGUUGGGGAUUCAUUUCCUUAGUAACGUAGCUAACGCGUGAAGUUGACCGCCUGGGGAGUACGGUCGCAAGAUUAAAACUCAAAGGAAUUGACGGGGUCAUAGCUGUUUCCU
rnacentral:rRNA from 1 species